UGCAGUCGAGCGGAUGAGUGGAGCUUGCUCCAUGAUUCAGCGGCGGACGGGUGAGUAAUGCCUAGGAAUCUGCCUGGUAGUGGGGGACAACGUUUCGAAAGGAACGCUAAUACCGCAUACGUCCUACGGGAGAAAGCAGGGGACCUUCGGGCCUUGCGCUAUCAGAUGAGCCUAGGUCGGAUUAGCUAGUUGGUGAGGUAAAGGCUCACCAAGGCGACGAUCCGUAACUGGUCUGAGAGGAUGAUCAGUCACACUGGAACUGAGACACGGUCCAGACUCCUACGGGAGGCAGCAGUGGGGAAUAUUGGACAAUGGGCGAAAGCCUGAUCCAGCCAUGCCGCGUGUGUGAAGAAGGUCUUCGGAUUGUAAAGCACUUUAAGUUGGGAGGAAGGGCAGUAAGUUAAUACCUUGCUGUUUUGACGUUACCGACAGAAUAAGCACCGGCUAACUUCGUGCCAGCAGCCGCGGUAAUACGAAGGGUGCAAGCGUUAAUCGGAAUUACUGGGCGUAAAGCGCGCGUAGGUGGUUCAGCAAGUUGGAUGUGAAAGCCCCGGGCUCAACCUGGGAACUGCAUCCAAAACUACUGAGCUAGAGUACGGUAGAGGGUGGUGGAAUUUCCUGUGUAGCGGUGAAAUGCGUAGAUAUAGGAAGGAACACCAGUGGCGAAGGCGACCACCUGGACUGAUACUGACACUGAGGUGCGAAAGCGUGGGGAGCAAA
rnacentral:rRNA from 1 species